UUAUAAAUAGCAGAACCAAAGCCUCGACGUUCUCUCUGCAACAGAAGUCGUUGAACUGGGAAGUCAUUGCUAUGGAGACGUCAUCAAAAUGUAAUCCGAGCAUAAGCAUUCUAUGCCAUGGUGCGCGCGCAGUGACGCGUGGGCUUGGAUGACUAGAGGCAGCGCGCACGUGUGGUUUCGCUUGAUGUUCGGGCGUGUUCAACAUGCUCUGCGCGAAAAAGCGCAUGGAUUUUUGUGACCGGAGCCAGCACGCAUGCGUGUGGUUGGAAACGACUGUGCCUUGGGCAUCGAUCAAGUGAAAUGCUGAUUUCACAAAAUGUGGGAACUUUGGUAAGUUCCUGGCUGCCAAAGUAAUGUGGUUGAAUGAGAUGUGAGAAGUCUUCCUCCAGCCGUCUCAUUGGGUGGCUACAAGUUGGAAUUAAAAGCUCCUUCAGUAACUUCCUACAUUGUUGCUGUUGUUGACUGUACUACACAUUAGUGAAUUAAUGCUUUCUUCAGAACUAAAUUUUCCCAAUUUAGUAACAUUGUAUCUAUUCAAUAAAAUAAACGGUUGGUACAGAA